ACAGCCAUAGCACCCUGAAUGUGCCCCGUCCCAUCUCAUCUCAGAAGCUAAGCAGGAACAGGCCUGGCUAGUACUUGGAUGGGAGGAUAUACCUGGACGACUGGU
rnacentral:rRNA from 1 species